AUUGAACGCUGGCGGCAUGCUUUACACAUGCAAGUCGAACGGUAACAGGCCGCAAGGUGCUGACGAGUGGCGAACGGGUGAGUAAUGCAUCGGAACGUGCCCAGUCGUGGGGGAUAACUACUCGAAAGAGUAGCUAAUACCGCAUACGAUCUAUGGAUGAAAGCGGGGGACCGUAAGGCCUCGCGCGAUUGGAGCGGCCGAUGUCAGAUUAGGUAGUUGGUGGGGUAAAGGCUCAUCAAGCCAACGAUCUGUAGCUGGUCUGAGAGGACGACCAGCCACACUGGGACUGAGACACGGCCCAGACUCCUACGGGAGGCAGCAGUGGGGAAUUUUGGACAAUGGGCGCAAGCCUGAUCCAGCAAUGCCGCGUGCAGGAAGAAGGCCUUCGGGUUGUAAACUGCUUUUGUACGGAACGAAACGGCUCUGGUUAAUACCCGGGGCUAAUGACGGUACCGUAAGAAUAAGCACCGGCUAACUACGUG
rnacentral:rRNA from 1 species